rnacentral:rRNA from 1 species
AGACUUUGAUUCUGGCUCAGAACGAACGCUGGCGGCGCGUUUUAAGCAUGCAAGUCGAGCGGCAAGGGCCUCCGGGCCCCUAGAGCGGCGGACGGGUGAGUAACACGUGGACAAUCUGCCCCCCGGCCGGGGAUAGCCCAGGGAAACCUGGAUUAAUACCGGAUGAGACGGGACGCACGAUGGUGCGGUCCGGGAAAGGCGCUACGGCGCCGCCGGGGGAUGAGUCCGCGACCCAUUAGCUGGACGGCGGGGUAAAGGCCCACCGUGGCGACGAUGGGUAGCCGGCCUGAGAGGGUGGACGGCCACAUUGGAACUGAGACACGGUCCAGACUCCUACGGGAGGCAGCAGCUAAGAAUCUUCCGCAAUGGGCGAAAGCCUGACGGAGCGACGCCGCGUGAACGAAGAAGGCCGUGAGGUUGUAAAGUUCUUUUCGGGAGGGGGAAUGACCGUGGCAGGGAAUGGCCGCGGGAUGACGUGAAUCCCGGAACAAGCCCCGGCUAACUACGUGCCAGCAGCCGCGGUAACACGUAGGGGGGCGAGCGUUGUUUCGGAAUCUUUGGGCCUAAAAGGCCUUGC